GAGGUUAUGAUAUAAUGUGCCCAGUGGGCCACUUUUGGUAAGCAGAACUGGCGCUGUGGGAUGAACCAAACGUAAUGUUACGGUGCCAAAAUUAACAACUCAUACAGAUACCAUGAAAGGCGUUGGUUGCUUAAAACAGCAGGACGGUGGACAUGGAAGUCGUAAUCCGCUAAGGAGUGUGUAACAACUCACCUGCCGAAGCAACUAGCCCUUAAAAUGGAUGGCGCUUAAGUUGUAUACCUAUACAUUACCGUUAAAGUAAAUGAUUUAUAUUCAAUUUCGAUUGAAUUUAAUAAAUUUUGAAACUUUAAUGAGUAGGAGGGUAUAAUGGUGUGCAUAGAAGUGUUUGGCGUGAGCCUGCAUGGAGCCGCCAUUAGCACAGAUCUUGGUGGUAGUAGCAAAUAAUCGAAUGAGACCUUGGAGGACUGAAGUGGAGAAGGGUUUCGUGUGAACAGUGGUUGAUCACGAGUUAGUCGGUCCUAAGUUUAAUGCGAAAGCUGAAUAUUUUCAAAGUUAAAAACAAAAAAAAAUGUGUAUAAAAAUUAUUUAAAAAUACAAACUAAUGAAUUAUAAUAAUAUACUUUGAUUAAUAUAUUUGAACGAAAGUUUCGUGUGAACAGUGGUUGAUCACGAGUUAGUCGGUCCUAAGUUUAAUGCGAAAGCUGAAUAUUUUCAAAGUUAAAAACAAAAAAAAAUGUGUAUAAAAAUUAUUUAAAAAUACAAACUAAUGAAUUAUAAUAAUAUACUUUGAUUAAUAUAUUUGAACGAAAGGGAAUACGGUUCCAAUUCCGUAACCUGUUGAGUAUCCGUUUGUUAUUAAAAAUGGGCCUUGUGCUCAUCCUGGUAACAGGAACGACCAUAAAGAAGCCGUCGAGAGAUAUCGGAAGAGUUUUCUUUUCUGUUUUAUAAUCGUACUACCAUGGAAGUCUUUCGAAGAGAGAUAUGGUAGAUGGAUUAGAAGAGCAUGACAUUUACUGUUGUGUCGAUAUUAUCUCCUCGGACCUUGAAAAUUUAUGGUGGGGUCACGCAAAUUUCUCAACAGGCCGUACCGAUAUCCGCAGCUGGUCUCCAAGGUGAAGAGUCUCUAGUCGAUAGAAUAAUGUAGGUAAGGGAAGUCGGCAAAUUAUUUAAGGAGUUUUUAACAAGAGGUGUCAGAAAAGUUACCACAGGGGUAACUGGCUUGUGGCGGCCAAGCGUUCAUAGCGACGUCGCUUUUUGAUCCUUCGAUGUCGGCUCUCCCUAUCAUUGUGAAGCAAAAUUCACCAAGCGUUGGAUUGUUCACCCAUGCAAGGGAACGUGAGCUGGGUUUAGACCGUCGUGAGACAGGUUAGUUUUACCCUACUAAUGACAAUAUGUUAUUGCGACAGCAUUCCUGCGUAGUACGAGAGGAACCGCAGGUACGGACCAAUGGUACAAUACUUGUUCGAGCGAACAGUGGUAUGAUACUACGUCCGUUGGAUUAUGCCUGAACGCCUCUAAGGUCGUAUCCGCGCUGGACUGCAAUGAUAAAUAUGGGGCAAUUGUGUUGUAUGGCUUCUAAAUUAUUUUUUAAGUUCUAUGAGUAAUUAUGGAACGAUACAAAUAAUUUUAUGUGAUGCCAAUGUUAUAUGUAACAGAAGCUAAUGUAAGAGGAUUAAAUAUCACUUGCAUGUUAUGCUUUUAAGUUACACAUAUUUAAAACAUUAUUUAAUACAAUGGCAAUGCCUAGAAUCAAUUGUAAACGACUUUGGUAACGGGCAAGGGUGUUGUAAG
rnacentral:rRNA from 1 species